rnacentral:rRNA from 1 species
GCCCCUUUGGGGGUACUCGAGUGGCGAACGGGUGAGUAACACGUGAGUAACCUGCCCUUGACUUCGGGAUAACUUCAGGAAACUGGGGCUAAUACCGGAUAGGAAUCCUUGCUGCAUGGUGGGGGUUGGAAAGCUUCGGCGGUUUUGGAUGGACUCGCGGCUUAUCAGCUUGUUGGUGGGGUAGUGGCUUACCAAGGCUUUGACGGGUAGCCGGCCUGAGAGGGCGACCGGCCACAUUGGGACUGAGAUACGGCCCAGACUCCUACGGGAGGCAGCAGUGGGGAAUAUUGCACAAUGGGCGGAAGCCUGAUGCAGCAACGCCGCGUGCGGGAUGACGGCCUUCGGGUUGUAAACCGCUUUCAGCAGGGGCGAAGCUUUUGUGACGGUACCUGCAGAAGAAGCACCGGCUAACUACGUGCCAGCAGCCGCGGUGAUACGUAGGGUGCGAGCGUUGUCCGGAUUUAUUGGGCGUAAAGAGCUCGUAGGUGGUUGAUUGCGUCGGAAGUGAAAACUUGGGGCUUAACCCUGAGCGUGCUUUCGAUACGGGUUGACUUGAGGAAGGUAGGGGAGAAUGGAAUUCCUGGUGGAGCGGUGGAAUGCGCAGAUAUCAGGAGGAACACCAGUGGCGAAGGCGGUUCUCUGGACCUUUCCUGACGCUGAGGAGCGAAAGCGUGGGGAGCGAACAGGCUUAGAUACCCUGGUAGUCCACGCUGUAAACGGUGGGUACUAGGUGUGGGGUCCAUUCCACGGAUUCCGUGCCGUAGCUAACGCAUUAAGUACCCCGCCUGGGGAGUACGGCCGCAAGGCUAAAACUCAAAGGAAUUGACGGGGCCCCGCACAAGCGGCGGAGCAUGCGGAUUAAUUCGAUGCAACGCGAAGAACCUUACCUGGGUUUGACAUGGACUGGGAGUGCUCAGAGAUGGGUAUGCCUCCUUGUGGGGCUGGUUCACAGGUGGUGCAUGGCUGUCGUCAGCUCGUGUCGUGAGAUGUUGGGUUAAGUCCCGCCCCGAGCGCAUCCCUCGUUCACUGUUGCCAGCACGUUAUGGUGGGGAACUCAGUGUAGACCGCCGGGGUCAACUCGGGAGGAACGUGGGGGAUGACCUCAAGUCGUCAUGCCCCUUAUGUACAGGGUUUUCACGCAUGCUACAAUGGCCCGGUAC